rnacentral:rRNA from 1 species
UGUGAGCUCGAUGAGUAGGGCGGGACACGUGGUAUCCUGUCUGAAUAUGGGGGGACCAUCCUCCAAGGCUAAAUACUCCUGACUGACCGAUAGUGAACCAGUACCGUGAGGGAAAGGCGAAAAGAACCCCGGCGAGGGGAGUGAAAAAGAACCUGAAACCGUGUACGUACAAGCAGUGGGAGCACAGAGCAAUCUGUGUGACUGCGUACCUUUUGUAUAAUGGGUCAGCGACUUAUAUUCUGUAGCAAGGUUAACCGAAUAGGGGAGCCGAAGGGAAACCGAGUCUUAACUGGGCGUUAAGUUGCAGGGUAUAGACCCGAAACCCGGUGAUCUAGCCAUGGGCAGGUUGAAGGUUGGGUAACACUAACUGGAGGACCGAACCGACUAAUGUUGAAAAAUUAGCGGAUGACUUGUGGCUGGGGGUGAAAGGCCAAUCAAACCGGGAGAUAGCUGGUUCUCCCCGAAAGCUAUUUAGGUAGCGCCUCGUGAAUUCAUCUCCGGGGGUAGAGCACUGUUUCGGCAAGGGGGUCAUCCCGACUUACCAACCCGAUGCAAACUGCGAAUACCGGAGAAUGUUAUCACGGGAGACACACGGCGGGUGCUAACGUCCGUCGUGAAGAGGGAAACAACCCAGACCGCCAGCUAAGGUCCCAAAGUCAUGGUUAAGUGGGAAACGAUGUGGGAAGGCCCAGACAGCCAGGAUGUUGGCUUAGAAGCAGCCAUCAUUUAAAGAAAGCGUAAUAGCUCACUGGUCGAGUCGGCCUGCGCGGAAGAUGUAACGGGGCUAAACCAUGCACCGAAGCUGCGGCAGCGACACUGUGUGUUGUUGGGUAGGGGAGCGUUCUGUAAGCCUGUGAAGGUGUGCUGUGAGGCAUGCUGGAGGUAUCAGAAGUGCGAAUGCUGACAUAAGUAACGAUAAAGCGGGUGAAAAGCCCGCUCGCCGGAAGACCAAGGGUUCCUGUCCAACGUUAAUCGGGGCAGGGUGAGUCGACCCCUAAGGCGAGGCCGAAAGGCGUAGUCGAUGGGAAACAGGUUAAUAUUCCUGUACUUGGUGUUACUGCGAAGGGGGGACGGAGAAGGCUAUGUUGGCCGGGCGACGGUUGUCCCGGUUUAAGCGUGUAGGCUGGUUUUCCAGGCAAAUCCGGAAAAUCAAGGCUGAGGCGUGAUGACGAGGCACUACGGUGCUGAAGCAACAAAUGCCCUGCUUCCAGGAAAAGCCUCUAAGCAUCAGGUAACAUCAAAUCGUACCCCAAACCGACACAGGUGGUCAGGUAGAGAAUACCAAGGCGCUUGAGAGAACUCGGGUGAAGGAACUAGGCAAAAUGGUGCCGUAACUUCGGGAGAAGGCACGCUGAUAUGUAGGUGAAGUCCCUCGCGGAUGGAGCUGAAAUCAGUCGAAGAUACCAGCUGGCUGCAACUGUUUAUUAAAAACACAGCACUGUGCAAACACGAAAGUGGACGUAUACGGUGUGACGCCUGCCCGGUGCCGGAAGGUUAAUUGAUGGGGUCAGCGCAAGCGAAGCUCUUGAUCGAAGCCCCGGUAAACGGCGGCCGUAACUAUAACGGUCCUAAGGUAGCGAAAUUCCUUGUCGGGUAAGUUCCGACCUGCACGAAUGGCGUAAUGAUGGCCAGGCUGUCUCCACCCGAGACUCAGUGAAAUUGAACUCGCUGUGAAGAUGCAGUGUACCCGCGGCAAGACGGAAAGACCCCGUGAACCUUUACUAUAGCUUGACACUGAACAUUGAGCCUUGAUGUGUAGGAUAGGUGGGAGGCUUUGAAGUGUGGACGCCAGUCUGCAUGGAGCCGACCUUGAAAUACCACCCUUUAAUGUUUGAUGUUCUAACGUGGACCCGUGAUCCGGGUUGCGGACAGUGUCUGGUGGGUAGUUUGACUGGGGCGGUCUCCUCCUAAAGAGUAACGGAGGAGCACGAAGGUUGGCUAAUCCUGGUCGGACAUCAGGAGGUUAGUGCAAUGGCAUAAGCCAGCUUGACUGCGAGCGUGACGGCGCGAGCAGGUGCGAAAGCAGGUCAUAGUGAUCCGGUGGUUCUGAAUGGAAGGGCCAUCGCUCAACGGAUAAAAGGUACUCCGGGGAUAACAGGCUGAUACCGCCCAAGAGUUCAUAUCGACGGCGGUGUUUGGCACCUCGAUGUCGGCUCAUCACAUCCUGGGGCUGAAGUAGGUCCCAAGGGUAUGGCUGUUCGCCAUUUAAAGUGGUACGCGAGCUGGGUUUAGAACGUCGUGAGACAGUUCGGUCCCUAUCUGCCGUGGGCGCUGGAGAACUGAGGGGGGCUGCUCCUAGUACGAGAGGACCGGAGUGGACGCAUCACUGGUGUUCGGGUUGUCAUGCCAAUGGCACUGCCCGGUAGCUAAAUGCGGAAGAGAUAAGUGCUGAAAGCAUCUAAGCACGAAACUUGCCCCGAGAUGAGUUCUCCCUGACCCUUUAAGGGUCCUGAAGGAACGUUGAAGACGACGACGUUGAUAGGCCGGGUGUGUAAGCGCAGCGAUGCGUUGAGCUAACCGGUACUAAUGAACCGUGAGGCUUAACCUU